UGCUUUUAUGAAGUUUGGGGCAAAUGAAUCACACAUAUAUAUGACCCUCCCUCAACACCCAGAAGGUAUGCCGACACGCAGAAUUCAAAAGUCUGAGGGUGACUGUGCUCAGGGGGUCAAGGGUUGCUUAGAAACUGCCUCUUUGAGGAGGAAGGCAGGACGUUCAAUAAGAGCGGCUGGCGACCAAAGAACUAAACUUUAAUGCAACAAAGUUGAGUCGGUCUCCCUACGACCACAGGCAUCCAACCCAGGAACACCUCGCUCCACGUGGAAGGCCCAGGUGCAGCUGGAGGGGGACUGAAAGGAUCAGACCAUGGGAUUGUUCUCAACUUUGGGCUUUUACACAGCAGUUUCAAAGACAAAGGGGCUUUUCAGCUAGGUUUGGUUCACUGUCCCCCUCCUGCCAGGCCCAAGCUUGGUCCCCAAUAUCCCCAGCAAUGCUUGGGACGUCCCUCACUUCGCUCCUUUUUUGGGGGGGGGCCAUUGCCCACCCCUAGGUUGCCUGCUGUCCCUCCUAGAGAGGUGGAUGGCCAUGACAUUCCUGGGAGGACAAAGGGAGGGGUGAGGGGGCAACGACGCCAUUCUAAAGUUUCACCCCGGAAAGGCAUCCCACUUCACCCGCGAGGCGCCCUCAGGCUACAGUUCGCGUGAGCCUCCUCCCUUCGCAGCGCCCCUCGGGACGGGGGAGGGGCGCUGUGCGGCCGGCGCUCUCUGAUUGGCUGCCGCGUCAGGGUUCCACGCCGCGAUUGUGCUGUGGGCGGCGGUCGGCACCUGCCUGCGCAAAGUAGGGAACUGGCGUUGGGACUUGCUGGAAGUCGGGGCCGGGGGAGCAGUCACUCGCAGUGAGUGCGGGCGCAAAGUAGAGAGCAGUCCCUAGUUUAAGCCUUUCCGUUGCCCUCCAGCACCGCCAGUACCAUGGACUCCACCCUGCCACGGCCCCUCAGAAUGCGGUGCAGCUGUCACUCGACCAGGAGAGAAAACGAGGCAGAAGGACUUGUGGGCCCGACUCACCAGCUCCAUCCUCAGGAACUCGAGGACCAUCAAGUUCCAUGGCUGCGAGUGAGCCUUUCUGGACAGAGUUCUGUGCAUCCGAGCACUGAUGUAAAGGAUGGAGGAAGAUGGACGAUGGGUGGCUGCCCUGAAUGCCGAGCUGUUCAUGCCAGGGCUGGCAGGACUGUGUGCCCUUGGCCUGCUGCAGCAGUGGGGCCGGCUGUGGACCAACUCCCUGAGGAUCCAGUACAGCCUCCUGGGUAA
rnacentral:lncRNA from 1 species